rnacentral:rRNA from 1 species
ACGAGCGCGCCUCGGGCGAGCGGCGGACGGGUUAGUAACGCGUGGGACGUGCCCAGAUCUACGGAAUAGCCACUGGAAACGGUGAGUAAUACCGUAUACGCCCUUCGGGGGAAAGAUUUAUCGGAUUUGGAUCGGCCCGCGUUAGAUUAAGUAGUUGGUGGGGUAACGGCCUACCAAGCCUACGAUCUAUAGCUGGUUUUAGAGGAUGAUCAGCAACACUGGGACUGAGACACGGCCCAGACUCCUACGGGAGGCAGCAGUGGGGAAUCUUGGACAAUGGGGGCAACCCUGAUCCAGCCAUGCCGCGUGAGUGAAGAAGGCCCUAGGGUCGUAAAACUCUUUCGCCUGUGAUGAUAAUGACAGUAGCAGGUAAAGAAACCCCGGCUAACUCCGUGCCAGCAGCCGCGGUAAUACGGAGGGGGUUAGCGUUGUUCGGAAUUACUGGGCGUAAAGCGCACGUAGGCGGAUUAGAAAGUUAGAGGUGAAAUCCCGGGGCUCAACCCCGGAACUGCCUUUAAAACUACUAGUCUAGAGUUCGAGAGAGGUGAGUGGACUUCCGAGUGUAGAGGUGAACUCGUCGAUCUCGCGGGACCCCAGCGGCGACGGCGGUCACUGGCUCGUUCUGCGCUGAGGUGCGAGGUGUG